rnacentral:lncRNA from 1 species
UGCAUAUCAACGUUUACAGCAGCAGAAUUCAUAAUAGCUAAAUCUUGGAAGUGGCCUAUAUAUCCAUCAACAGACAAAUGGAUGAAGAAAAGUGGUAUCUAUACAUAACAGAAUACUACUUGGGUAUAAAAAGGAAUAAAUUUGAGACAUUUGUAGGAAAAUGGAUACACUUUGAAAACAUAAUCUUUUUUUUUUUUUUGUACCGGAGAUCAAAAUUGGGACCUUGAGCUUUCGAGGCAGGUGCCGGAACCACUGAGCUAAAUCCCUGGCUCCGAAAACAUAAUCUUAAAUGAAAUAAAUCAGACACAAGCUUAAAUACUGUACGGUUUCUCUCAUUUGAGAAAUCCAAAAAGUAUAAAUAAAGAGCAAAAUAAAAGAUGGGUAAAAGAAAAUAGGGAGAUAGACCUUUUGCAAAUGGGAAAGGGACCAAGACACUGGGUGGGGGGUUGAAAAGAUUUAAGAUGUGUCAUGUGCAUGUACCAGCUAUCCACAAUAAAUGUAAUUAUUACAUGCUGCAAACAUGAACUAAAAAAAAAAAAUGAAAAUGGGGAAAGGGAUCUACAGACAGAGGAGGGUGGUGGGUGGGGAAGGGAAAGAGAAUAAAAAGAAUCAAGAUACGUUAAGUACACAUGUCCAGUACCUACAAUGAGUGUAAACAUCAUGUACUGCAAACAUGUACUGAUAGUACAUAUUUUUUGGUAGCUGUGCACAGUGGGGCAUGCCUGUAGUCCCAGUACUUGGGAGGCUAAGGCAGGAGAGUAGCUGUGAGUCUGAGGUUAACUGGGCAUACCUAGUGAGUUCAAGGCCAGCCUGGACUACAUAGUGAAACCCUGUGUCAAAAAAAUAAAAUAGCCAGGGAUUUAGCUCAGUAGUUCCGCUGCCUGGCUUGCAAGCGCAAGGACCUGAGUUCGAUCCCCGGUACCAAAAAAAAGAAACUAAAAUAAAAUAAUCUUUUUUGGUAUCUCAGCAAGGUUUUAUGAUUUUCUUCAAUUAUAUUCAGUACCUUCCUAUCAACCUGGUCUUCAAAUAUUUUGUUUUAUAUGUUUUUCUUUUUUAAAUUCAGUAUUGGGGAUUGAACCCAAGGCCUUUGCACUGAGCUACCACUCUAGUCUUUCCUUCCUUCCUUCUUUUUUUUUUUUUGUUUUUUUGAUGCAGGGUCUUGCUAUGUAAUUCAGGCUAGCCUUGAACUAUGUAGCCCAGGCUGGCCUCAAACUCAUGGUGAUCCUCCUGCUUCAGCCUCCUGAGUGCUGGGAUACAGCCAUGUGCCGCCACAUGUGGCUUUCCUUUUAUUUAUUUUUUUGGUACCAGGAUCGAACUUGGGACCUUGUGCUUGCAAGGCAGGCGGCAGAACCACUGAGCUAAAUCCCUGGCCCUAUUUAUUUGGUUUUUUGAGACAGGGUCUCACUGUGUAGCCCAGGCUGGCCUCAAACUGGUGGCAAUCAUCCUGCCUCAGCCUGCCAAGUGCUAGGAUUUCAGGCAUGUGCCACCACACGUGGCUGUUUCCUUUGUGUUUUUUUUUUUUUGGUAUCAGGGAUUGAACUCAGAACCUUGCAAUUGCAAGGCAGGCGGCAGAACCACUGAGCUAAAUCCCCAGACACCUGGCUCUUUCUUGAGACAAGUAUGUAGCUCAGCCUGGCCUUGAGCUCACCGUAAUCCUCUUGCCUCAGCCUCCAGAGUGCUGGGACUACAAGCGUGCACCACCACGCCCAGCUAUACUUCUCAUUUCUGUAGCAAGAAUGAAACUUGCUAUGUUAGCUGAUAAAAUGCCCAUUUCCACUAUUUCCUGGGACCUCAUGACCACUUCUCUCCAGGGUUUCUGUGGCUGGUGGCCCUGGCAAGGGAUGACAUGACAAAAUGGAGGGAAAGGAAGUCAAGUUUAAAGUUGUUAUCAGAUUUGGAACAGCAGACAGGGAAGAGACAAAGCCCACACAUCAGCUUACUCAGUGUGGCCUCUGGGCCACUGCUGGUACCUGAGCAGUUUGUCACUGAGAGCGAGAAUCUCUAGAUGUGGGUGCAAUACACAGUUACAUGACUGACCAACCCGCUUACCAAACAGUAAACAGUACUGACGUUAAUCCGUGACAACUGGAGAACUGGCCCUUAACCACAGAUUGUGUGGGAGAUGCUUCUUUAGACUACAAGUCUAUAGAUUCAGAGAAGCAAGAUCAGACCUGAAGGAAAUUCACAGCUGAGAACAAGGACAACACAGCAGCUCCCAAGGUCAAAGUCAGUUGGAGACAAACUACAUCUUAGCCAACCCUGAGCGGACACCCAAGGGUCAGAUGCUUCUCUUCUCAGGAGGCCUCGCCAAGCGCUAUGUGACACCUUUGCACCAGAUGAGAUGACAAAGCUGGCAGGAGGGGACAUGCCCAUAGUGAUCAAGAGUAAUUUUCCAUCACCUGGCGGAAUGGUGACUCAAUGGAAUUUUUUAAAAAACAAAAAAAUUGGAAAGCCUUAUUUCUUUCCUGAGUCCGUAGACUGAGAUUCAUGCCUGCUUUGGCUUUAACCAGAGACAGAUGUCAUUUGGCACUUUUGUCUUAUUUCUGAUUUCAAUGGGGCUGCAUCUGCUAUAUUUUUUAGGUAUGAUAUUUGCUAUUAAUUCUAUCAUCAAUGAUGUCAACAUCCAUCUAUUUGAAGUUGGCAAAGAUGUUACUGUUUCUGAAAAUGUUAGAUCAGAAAUAGAUGUUGGAUUUCAUCUAAUGCCUUUUUGGUCUCUAUCAAGACAGUCAUGAUUUUUUUCUCAUUCACCUAUUAAUAAAUUACACAACACAUUUUCUCACAUUUUCUUUUUUUUUGUACUGGGGAUCGAACUCAAAUUUUUUUUUAAACAAUAGGAAUUAUUUAUUGAGUUCUUUCUGUUUAUUUUCUUUCUUUCUUUUUUUUCUGCAGAACCAGGGAUCAAACUCAGGACCUUGUGUUUGCCAGGCAGGUGCAGUGCCACUGAGCUACAACCCCAGCCCAUCAGAUUUUAAUAUACCUUUGACUUUGCCUCUUUGUUUUAAUGCACAGAUAGAUUAUCUACUUAUGAUUUAUUUUCAGUCUUAAAAUCAGUAUUUGUGAGUUUGGUAUGUACAUUUUAAAAACAUUCAGUUGGACAAGCUCGGAUAGGGAGUUAGUUAUACUGGGCUUUUUUUUUUUUUUUUUGCUACUGGGAAUAGAACUCAGGACCUUGCAUUUGCCAGGCAGAUGUGGCACAACUGAGCUAAAUCCCCAGCCCUGUACUGGGCUUUUAGACAACAAACCAUGUUUCUGAGCUUUUCUCAUACCCUAGAUUCUAGAUUGUAAAACUACCUAUUAUCUUUCUUGAAGAUUUACUGGAAAUUCUCCACAUUAUUCAACUGGAGCUGAAAUUUGGGGGGUAUGACUUUUUUUUUUUGGUACCAGGGAUCAAACUUGGGACCUUGCGCUUGCGAGGCAGGCAGCAGAAUCACUGAGCUAAAUCCCUGGCCCUAGACUUUUGAUGGCUCUUUCCUAUCCACAUAAUUUGAUCUACCUGAAUAGUUGGUCUAUCCAAAUUUUCCAUUUCUUUUAGUCAAUUUUAGUCAUUUGUAUUUUAUUUUUAAAAACUGGCCAGGCAUGGUGGUGUAUGUCUGUAAUCCCAACACUCAGGAGGCUGAGGCAGGAGGAUCGCUGUGAGUUUGAGGCCAGCUUGGACUACAUAGUGAGACCCUGUCUCAACCCCCCCCCCAAUAAACUCCCCAAAAUCAUAACUAUUUUGGGUUGAGGAUGUAGCUCAGUGGUACAGCAUAGCCUUACACAGAGGUCCUGGGUUCAAUUCCAGGACUGAAGAGAAAAAUCCAUUUAUUUCAAGGUCUAAACUCUCACAUAUUGGCUUAUAUUAUUAUCACAGUAUCUUUCCCUGAAUCUUGCACUUCAUCUGAAAGCAGUAUUCUUGGACUCCAGAUUGUCCCUUGAAUGUCUUCUUUAAUCUCCCAUAAAUGUGCUUUUUAAAAAAGUUUUUGAUAGAAGGUCUUGCUAUGUAGCUCAGGCUGGCCUGGAUCUCUCAGUCCUCUUGCCUCAGCCUCCUGAGUGCUGGGACCAAAACUUCUUUUUGUUCCCCUCUGAUUCUCCUCCUCUGAUUGCUUUUCUACUCCUGAAUCUUUUCAUGAGCCCAAAGGAGCCUGCUUUUGUCUGCUGUCAGCAGUUGUGCUCUGGGAUUUUUGUUCUAACCUGGACAGACAAAAAAGAAAAGUUGCAUUUAUUCUGACCUUAUCUAUUAGAUUUAGAGGACCAGCUGUGAGCAAAGAGGAAGUGGAUCCCCAGUAGCCAGGCUCUGGCCAUAACAGAGGCUUUCCAAGCUCCCACCACCUGAGUCUCUCCUGAGACUCCUCCAACCUCCCAGCCAUGAAGAACCUCAGGGCCACUUGCUGUCACCUCAAGCCACCUCACGCCACACAGUGGGCUCUGUCCCAUCUGUCUAGGAUGCCCAUGUCCUGUUUCUUGACCUGGGCAAUACAUCUUUGAUUUUCACUUUGACAAUUAUUUAAGUUUUGCACUUAAACUUCAUGUACUUUUCUGUAUGUGUUAUAUUUUACAGUGAAAAUAAUUUAAAAGUAUCUGUAUACAUUCUUAUUAUCUAUGUACUUUUUCUGGAGGAAGACAAUGACAGACUGUUAAUAUGGAGUUUUCUUUAACAUUUUGCUCAACACAAUUCUGUAUUAAAAUAAAUUAUUAUUUUUCACUCUAGAAAAUGAUACAGGCAGCAGAAAAACUCAGGGCUGACCCCAGAUGACCAGAUUCCCUCACAGCUUUGGCUGUGUCCAGAGAGAUUUCAACACACAGCUGUCUCCUUCCUUGAUGACAGACACCCAUGCCUCUGUCCUCAUGCCAGACUGUCAAUUACUCACCAGGCUUGCUUUGAACCUCAGGACCUAAUCUUUGCCAGGUCUAGUUCUGCACACUCCUGGGGGCCAGCUAAGGACCUCAAGGACUAAGGAUAUUCCCUUUUUAAAAAAAUCUUCAAUCACUAUUACUUCUAAUACAAUUUCUCUUACAGAAGAAAAAUAAGAAUAAUGAGCUGGGUUUGAUGGCUCACACUUGUAAUCCCAGCAACUCUGGGAGACUGAGGUAGGAGGACUGCAGUUUGAGCUCGGCAUGGGCAAUUUAGCAAUUUAGUGAGAUCUUGCUUCAAAGCAAAAAAUAAAAAGGGCUGAGGAUGUAGUUCAUCUUGGGUCCUGGGAGUAGGGGAGGGGAGGUAGCAUUUCCAUGGGAGGCAGAGGUUGAAAAAGUGAAGCAGUUUUUUAGACUAAAGUCUAACUUGGCUGGGUCUGCAGAAGUGUGGGCAAAGGCCAAGGAACCAGGUCUAAUAAUGGCAGGUGUGACACCUGCACUGGUGACAAGAGGUCCCAGCAGCAAGUGGAAUGACACUGUUAAUGACAUCACACUCGAGGGUGGGUAGUAGGACUUGGGAGAGCAGAGAACAUGGGUACCAGCAAAGAGAUAACGCUGGGGUCCAGGCAAAGAACAGGAAGGAGGGAGAAGAAAAUGAUGACAAAUAGGGCACUGCUUUACUGCACUGGCAGCUGGGACCCUCUAACCCAGGACGGGGGCAGCCAUGAGCACCAUUCACCUGCCAUGUCAAGCCAACUGGACAGAGUCUCCUCUCAGACCUGACUACUAAAUGCUGGAUCCCAAUGCCAGGGAAAAAGCUCCGCCAAACCCAGAGAAUGGUGAUGCCAUGUACUUGCAAGAGUGGGGGAUAGAGGUGAAGCACACAUGAGAGGACUGGCUAAAAGUCUAAGAAUUAGACUUUAUGCUGACUUCAGAUGAAAACGUAAUGUAUAGUUCAAAAAGCUAAGAGAAAGGAUUUUGAAUGGUUUCACCAUAAAGCAAAGAUAAAUGUUUGAGAAGACAAGUGUUUAACCUGAUCAGAGUAUUUCACAGUGGGAACAUGUAUGAAACAGCACACAUCACCCCAUAAUAUGUGCCAUUUUAAUGUUUUUAUGUGGCAUUUAGAAAAAUAAAUUUAGGAGCCAUGGG